rnacentral:rRNA from 1 species
CCCUUAGAUGUUCUGGGCCGCACACGCGCUACACUGAAGGAGGCAGCGUGUACUCCUGGAUCGAAAGAUUUGGGUAACCCGCGAAUCUCCUUCGUGCUAGGGAUUGAGGUUUGCAAUUAUCCUUCAUGAACGAGGAAUUCCCAGUAAGUGCAAGUCAUAAGCUUGCGCUGACUACGUCCCUGCCCUUUGUACACACCGCCCGUCGCCACUACCGAUUGAAUGAUUUAGUGAGGACUUCGGACUGGGACCGAUGCGGCUUUCGGGCUGCGUCGGUAUUCUGGAAAGAUGUCCAAACUGUAUCAUUUAGAGGAAGUAAANGUCGUNACA